AUGUUUUCUUGCUGGACCAAAAGAUAUAUACCCAGCUCAAUAGAAGAAAAAACGACAGACAAAGUUUCAUCUAUGAGCAAAAAUAUUUCAACAGAAGUUAAAAUGGACAAAAAAGAAAUGGUUGCGCCGAUUAUAGAAAAACAUGUUCCUGAGUUUCAAGAUUUUCUGAAGCGGGUUCAGACCUUGCAAAUGUCACACAACGAUUUAGUCAAUCAACCUAAUAUCUGCAGUUCCAUGGAUAUUGAAGUCGGCGAAGAAGCUCCUACGACAUCUUAUGCCGAUAACAUAGAUAAAUGUCCCUUAUCAGUACUGCGAACAUCUGAUUGUAAUUGUGUGCCACUUGGUAUGACAAAUAUUCGUGUAACAGUUGGUAUUGAUAAAGAUUUAGAAAUGAUUCUUGAAAUGGAUCCGAGUAUUGUAGAUUUGGGGGAUAUUAGCAUUGCCGAAACUGCAGAACCGCGCAUAGUGGGCUUACCUCCACUUUCGGGUGGACCGACAUUUAAAACGGCUACUCCCACUUCACGAACACAACUAAAACUGCAACUACAACGGGAACAACAUCAACAGCAACAAAUGAUGAUACAACAACAGACACUAGACACUGCUCUGGACCCAAAAAUGCACCUAUUGUUUGGUAGUGGACAGGGACCCAUGGAAUCGGAAUUUAUUGACAGCGGUAGUACCAGUGCUUGUGGUAGUGGGUCAUCCAGCUUAGAACAAAUGUCGCAGUUAGUGCAAAUGGACAAUUUAAUUGACUCAUCAAGUGCAGUUAAGCUUAAAGUUCCUCUUCAAAGUAUCGGAGUAGAUGUGCCGCCACAAGUGCUGCAGGUCAGUACAGUGCUGGAAAACCCCACCAGGUAUCAUGUUAUCCAAAAGCAAAAGAAUCAAGUAAGGCAGUAUCUCAGCGAAUCCUUCAAGCCGUCUAUGUGGGGUUGUCAUACCAGCGAAAUAAAAUUAGCAAAUAAUUCUGCGUCAACGGGAAAUCUUCAGAGUUCAUCUUUACAGAAAGGUACUUGCGACCCUUUGGAGCGUACAGACAGAUUUGAAUGCGAAAGGUCUGUGAGUGCUAAAAGAAUUAUGCCUUCCGAUGACGCAAUGCCCAUUUCCCCAUUCGGUGGUAGCUUCGUAAGAUGUGAUGACAUAGAUCCAAAUGAGUCAACUAUAUUGGGAGGAAAUAAUCAAUGCUCUGGGGAACCAGAAAAUGCCCAUAAAACCACCCAGUUGGGAUUUGUUAAAGCUAAUUCAGGCCUAAGCUCUACGCGUUCUUCUUCAGGGAUUGUUAAUUCAAUUCGAAUUUCUAGUGCAGCAAGUUCUUUACAAUCUAAUUCAGCACCUAUUUCGCCAAGCCUAAGCUCGGUUGCUACGAGUCUUUCUGAGCUACCAUCAUUCGACAGCGAUAACCAAAUAAAAUAACCAUAUUUAUGGGCGUGUUUGUUAACGAUACAGGGCGCUUUUUUAUCAACGAAGAUUACACGUAUAAUAGCAGAUGACAUCUUUGAUGAUAUAUUGCAAAAUGACUCUUUUAACUUUGAUAAAAACUUCAACUCUGAGCUUUCAAUCAAACAG
rnacentral:misc_RNA from 1 species